AUAGAUGUGCUGAAAUCUGGUAUACAGGUCUCGCUUAGGACGAGAUGGUUUAUAACUUUGCAAGUUCAAGUCUUGUCAUCUAUA
rnacentral:tRNA from 1 species